UCCUGGUUAACCCAGGCAGUCUCGCUAGAGUUCCCACCAUUACGUGUUGGCAACUAACGAUAAGGGUUGCGCUCGUUGCGGGACUUAACCCAACACCUCACGGCACGAGCUGACGACAGCCAUGCAGCACCUGUGCAGCGGUCCCGAAGGAAGACGCCAUUUCUGGCGCUGUCCGCUGCAUGUCAAGCCUGGGUAAGGUUCUUCGCGUUGCAUCGAAUUAAACCACAUGCUCCACUGCUUGUGCGGGUCCCCGUCAAUUCUUUUGAGUUUCAGCCUUGCGACUGUACUCCCCAGGCGGUAUACUUAACGCGUUAGCUCCGGCACAGUCAGGGUUGAUUCCGACUACACCAAGUAUACAUAGUUUACGGCAAGGACUAC
rnacentral:misc_RNA from 1 species